GAUGAACGCUGGCGGCGUGCUUAACACAUGCAAGUCGAACGGGAAAUACUUUAUUGAAACUUCGGUCGAUUUAAUUUAUUUCUAGUGGCGGACGGGUGAGUAACGCGUGGGUAACCUGCCUUAUACUGGGGGAUAACAGCCAGAAAUGACUGCUAAUACCGCAUAAGCGCACAGAACCGCAUGGUUCCGUGUGAAAAACUCCGGUGGUAUAAGAUGGACCCGCGUUGGAUUAGUUAGUUGGCAGGGCAGCGGCCUACCAAGGCGACGAUCCAUAGCCGGCCUGAGAGGGUGAACGGCCACAUUGGGACUGAGACACGGCCCAGACUCCUACGGGAGGCAGCAGUGGGGAAUAUUGCACAAUGGGGGAAACCCUGAUGCAGCGACGCCGCGUGAAGGAAGAAGUAUCUCGGUAUGUAAACUUCUAUCAGCAGGGAAGAUAAUGACGGUAC
rnacentral:rRNA from 1 species